CUUGCCAAGAAAACCUCUAUGGAUAGCUCUGGACCAUGCGGUUACAAGAAAUCCAACAUGACUGAAUGACAACUGACUGAAUAACAGGGGAGGUCAGGAAAGGCCUCAUUGUCUCAAGAAGCAGCAUUUGAGCGGAGUACUUAAGGGUGCUGGGGAGUUGAAGAGACAGAGUCAAGGAGGGAACACAUAGAAGGCAGCCCAAAGGCACAGCCCCUUCCAGAGGCUAAGGGACCGGAGAGCCCAAGGGAUCUGAGAUACUGUAGAACUGGACCUCUCUACUCCAUUGUGAACAACCAUUCCGAGCGUUCAUCCAUCCCUGGCACUGGAGUCCUUGUACCUGGAACUGGUACCAUUCCUACGAUCACUGACUCCCAUUCCUGACACUGAGUUCCCAUCACAUCCUCAAUCCAGAGUCUACAACCCUAAUAGUUAGUCCCCACCCCCACCAUUUGAGCCCCAUAGCUUUACUAAGCACUCAGCCAUCAUCCCCAGUUCUCAGCUCCUAUCUCCUCCACACCCACACUAGCAUCCUUGGCUUCCACUGUCUCCUCUUUGUUUCUUCGGUCUCCACCCUGCUCCACUGUUCUGUGAUCCUAUCACCACUCGGAAACAGACACUCCCCCCUUGGGGCCUGAGAUAGGCAUCAUGAGUCCUUGCCAAUUAUUCCAGCAGUGGGGGAGGAGGAGGCAGACAUUGGACACAGGCCUGCUCUUCCUGCUCUCAGCCUCCUUUGGCCGGAAGGCACCCAGAGGCAGACUCCUGCCUCCCCUCCUGUCCAGAACAUUCCCUUCCUCCAUUCUUCCUCAAUCUCCAGCAAUGUCCAGACCCUAUUCAUAUUCUGGCCAGGCCUCUGAGAAGAGGUCUCUGCUUUCACCCUAUGCAUGUCUCUGCAUAAAUACACAUUAGCCAUCAUUAACCAGAUGCUGACACAUCUAUCGGAAUCCUACUGCAUCCUCAUUGAUUCUCAUCAUUGAAACAUGGGGAAAUCGAUGCACUCUCUCAUAAUGCACAGCUUUGCCUCUCCCCUCUUCCUGUCCCCUUUCCCCCAGCAUUGACUCAAGAGCCCAUCCUAACAGGGAAGCAAGCAUCCCACUGGGAUGUUCAGUGAGGAAACAGACCCUCCUCCCCAGUGAGGCUCUCAGCCUUAGGGAAGGCAUUGGUGUUAGUGCUAUGUACUAUGGACCCAAACAGGCUCCAAUUUGGGACUUAUGAGAGGAAAAGGAAAAGCAUGACAAGUAGUGCCAUUCAGUAAAGUGGGCCAGAAGUGUGGCUAGCAGGAUCCUAGCAGAGGGAUCUUCCUGAUGGUUAUAAUAUCAUCACAAUGUAGUGUACAAAGCGUUUCCUUCACAACAAUGCCGAGGGAGAGGCAGAUAGUGAGGUGUUAUUGUCCUAAUUGAGGUCUGGAAACAUAACAUGACCUAUGCUGUGCAAUGGUUUAGCUGCCCAGUGGCAGAGGGGAUGGGACAGAGUGCUGAGGCCAAGAGCACUGCAAAGAUGCUUGAGGGUAGGUUUGGAACACUAAGGGUUCACGUGGAAGCAAUUUAAAUUUCUCUCCACUCUGGGAGAACUCCAUGCUGAAAUUGGGGCUCACGGUUAGGGCUGGAAACUCAGGGUUAAGGAAGGAGGCUCAGGGUUAGGGCUUGGGGUUCAGAGUUUAGGGCAGGGACUCAGUGCUAGGACUGAGGCUGAGGGUUAAGGAAGAGGAGUCAGUGCCAGGGACAGAUGCUUAGUUAGAGUGAGGGCUCAAUUCGUGGUAAGGUAGCUUUCUGUCAGGAAGUGGGUUGACACCAGAGAUAGAGGCUCAGUGCAAAUGAUGAGUGCUCAGGGUUGAGACUGGGGACUCAGUUCUGGAGAAAGGGCCUGGGUUCUGGGAACUAGGGUUCACUUCUGGGAAUUGGAAUGUAACUGAGGAGGAAUAAUAAGAGAAUCCUUUACAAAGGCUAAGGAAGGACCCUGGUAUUCUCAUAACCUAGAGAUCCCUACCAAACCUCUGAGACAGAUCCAGGGGCUAGGGCCAUAUUAGGAAGUCAGAAGGCCUUCUGAAGACUGGCAAACCAUCUCUGUUACUCAUUUCAGUUGAGCCCUUCUCUGGGAUCCAUAACACACUCACUCACACACACACACACACACACACACACACACACACUCACACAGAUUUGCAUGCACACAUUUGAGAGAUGGCAUCAGAUGGUGGAAUGAUAAUAGGGUCCACUGGAAUCAAGGUACCUGGGUUUGAAUCCCAGCCCUGAUACAUUCUAUGUGAUCUUAGGCAACUUAUUUGCCCUCUCCAGGCCUCAGUUUCUUUAUGUGUAAAACAAGGAGAUUAGGAUAAUUAUGAAGUCCCUUCCAGGCAGUGAAUAUGAGUCAGGGAAUAAGCAAUCCCAUGACUCUAAGGCAACCACACCAUAGCAGACCAGAGAGAGGUGCUAAUACCAGCAAAGGGCCAACAGAUCAUGCCCACCCCUGCCUGAGGCAAAGGGGCAAUAACUUGGAAAAGAACAUUUUUUUUUGUCUAGUCCUUUGAAAGUGUGUAUGUGGGAGAGAUCAGACAGUUAUAGAUCAGUUGGAUCAAAGGAAAUGUAAUUCAGUGGGGCAGAAAGAAGUAGGCAACUGAGAAUGAGAAAGUCUGGGUUCUAAUUCUAUUUUUCCUACCAAUAAACUCUACUUUUGGCAAGUUCCUUCCCCUCAUGGUGCCUUCGUUUCCUUAUUUGUAAAAGGGAGGAGUAAAAGAAGGUGAAGUCUCUUUAUAUCUGAUGUUCCGUGAUUUAAUGAUAAUUUUUUUCAGUUACCUGAGAACUCAUGAAGCAGGGUUUUGUUUUG